rnacentral:rRNA from 1 species
UACGUAGGGGGCUAGCGUUGUUCGGAAUUACUGGGCGUAAAGAGUGUGUAGGCGGUGUUCCCAGUCUGUUGUGAAAUCUCCCGGCUUAACUGGGAGGGUGCAGCGGAAACUAGAAUGCUAGAGGGUGGGAGAGGUAAGCGGAAUUCCUGGUGUAGCGGUGAAAUGCGUAGAUAUCAGGAGGAACACCUGUGGUGUAGACAGCUUACUGGACCACUUCUGACGCUGAGACACGAAAGCGUGGGUAGCAAACAGG